rnacentral:misc_RNA from 1 species
GAUGAAGAACGUAGCGAAAUGCGAUAAGUAAUGUGAAUUGCAGAAUUCAGUGAAUCAUCGAAUCUUUGAACGCACAUUGCGCCCCCUGGUAUUCCGGGGGGCAUGCCUGUCCGAGCGUCAUUACAACCCUCAAGCUCAGCUUGGUGUUGGGCCCCGCCGCCCCGGCGGGCCCUAAAGUCAGUGGCGGUGCCGUCCGGCUCCGAGCGUAGUAAUUCUUCUCGCUCUGGAGGUCCGGUCGUGUGCUCGGCAGCAACCCCCAAUUUUUUUCAGGUUGACCUCGGAUCAGGUAGGGAUACCCGCUGAACUUAAGCAUAUCAAAAGCGGAGGA